rnacentral:rRNA from 1 species
UCGCAACCCGCGACUUGGCGAGAAGUCCAUUGAACCUUAUCAUUUAGAGGAAGGAGAAGUCGUAACAAGGUUUCCGUAGGUGAACCUGCGGAAGGAUCAUUG